UGGGGAAUAUUGGACAAUGGAGGAAACUCUGAUCCAGCAAUUCUGUGUGUGUGAAGAAGGUUUUAGGACUGUAAAACACUUUUAGUAGGGAAGAAAAAAAUGACGGUACCUACAGAAGAAGCAACGGCUAAAUACGUGCCAGCAGCCGCGGUAAUACGUAGGUGGCAAGCGUUGUCCGGAUUUAUUGGGCGUAAAGGGGGCGCAGGCUGCUUCUUAAGUCUGAUGUGAAAGCCCACGGCUUAACCGUGGAAGUGCAUUGGAAACUGGGAAGCUUGAGUACAGAAGAGGAAAGUGGAACUCCAUGUGUAGCGGUGGAAUGCGUAGAUAUAUGGAAGAACUCCAGUGGCGAAAGCGACUUUCUGGUCUGUCACUGACGCUGAGGCCCGAAAGCGUGGGUAGCAAACAGG
rnacentral:rRNA from 1 species